rnacentral:rRNA from 1 species
UACGUAGGGUGCAAGCGUUAAUCGGAAUUACUGGGCGUAAAGCGUGCGCAGGCGGUGAUGUAAGACAGUUGUGAAAUCCCCGGGCUCAACCUGGGAACUGCAUCUGUGACUGCAUUGCUGGAGUGCGGCAGAGGGGGAUGGAAUUCCGCGUGUAGCAGUGAAAUGCGUAGAUAUGCGGAGGAACACCGAUGGCGAAGGCAAUCCCCUGGGCCUGCACUGACGCGCAUGCACGAAAGCGUGGGGAGCAAACAGG